UACGUAGGGGGCAAGCGUUGUCCGGAAUUAUUGGGCGUAAAGAGCUUGUAGGCGGUUUGUCGCGUCUGCUGUGAAAUUUCGGGGCUCAACCCCGAACUUGCAGUGGGUACGGGCAGACUAGAGUGUGGUAGGGGAGACUGGAAUUCCUGGUGUAGCGGUGAAAUGCGCAGAUAUCAGGAGGAACACCGAUGGCGAAGGCAGGUCUCUGGGCCACUACUGACGCUGAGAAGCGAAAGCGUGGGGAGCGAACAGG
rnacentral:rRNA from 1 species